rnacentral:rRNA from 1 species
GACGAACGCUGGCGGCGUGCUUAACACAUGCAAGUCGAACGGAAAGGCCCUGCUUUUGUGGGGUGCUCGAGUGGCGAACGGGUGAGUAACACGUGAGUAACCUGCCCUUGACUUUGGGAUAACUUCAGGAAACUGGGGCUAAUACCGGAUAGGAGCUCCUGCUGCAUGGUGGGGGUUGGAAAGUUUCGGCGGUUGGGGAUGGACUCGCGGCUUAUCAGUUUGUUGGUGGGGUAGUGGCUUACCAAGGCUUUGACGGGUAGCCGGCCUGGGAGGGUGACCGGCCACAAUGGUACUGCGAGACGGCCCAGACGCCAACGGUAGGCAGCAGUGGGGAAUAUGGCGCAGUGGGGGGAAGCCUGAUGCAGCAACGCCGCGUGCGGGAUGACGGCCUUCGGGUUGUGAACCGCUUUCGCCUGUGACGAAGCGUGAGUGACGGUAAUGGGUAAAGAAGCACCGGCUAACUACGUG